GGAGUAUAAGAAAUUGUCUAUUAAUUUUUAACUAAAAAAACUAAAAACAGACUCUUAAAUAUCUUAUUUAAGAGCCGGUUCUUAGUUUUUUUAGUUAAAAAUUAAGAGACGUUUUCUUAUAUUUU
rfam:Brassica napus, WGS project CCCW01000000 data, contig: 8095